rnacentral:rRNA from 1 species
UUAUAAGAGACAGCAGUAGCCGCGGUAAUACGAAGGGUGCAAGCGUUACUCGGAAUUACUGGGCGUAAAGCGUGCGUAGGUGGUGGUUUAAGUCCGUUGUGAAAGCCCUGGGCUCAACCUGGGAAUUGCAGUGGAUACUGGGUCACUAGAGUGUGGUAGAGGAUAGUGGAAUUUCCGGUGUAGCAGUGAAAUGCGUAGAGAUCGGAAGGAACAUCUGUGGCGAAGGCGACUAUCUGGGCCAACACUGACACUGAGGCACGAAAGCGUGGGGAGCAAACAGGAUUAGAUACCCGCGUAGUCCCUGUCUCUUAUAC